rnacentral:rRNA from 1 species
AUUGAACGCUGGCGGCAGGCCUAACACAUGCAAGUCGAACGAGUGGCGGACGGGUGAGCAAUGUCGGGAAACCUGGCUGACGGAGGGGGCUAACUAGUGGAAACGGUAGCUAAUAACGCAUACCAUCGGAUGUGCCCAGGUGGGAUUAGCGAGUAGGUGGGGUAAAGGAUCACCUAGGCGACGAUCCCUAGCUGGUCGGAGAGGAUGACCGGCCACACUGGAACUGAGACACGGUCCAGACUCCUACGGGAGGCAGCAGUGGGGAAUAUUGUGCAAUGGACGAAAGCCUGAUGGAGCAAUGCCGCGUGUGUGAAGAAGGCUUUCGGAUUGUAAAGUUCUUUUAGCGGAGAAGCGUUACCUGCAGAAGAAGCAACGGCUAACUCCGUGCCAGCAGCCGCGGUAAUUC